rnacentral:rRNA from 1 species
UUAAAUUGAAGAGUUUGAUCAUGGCUCAGAUUGAACGCUGGCGGCAGGCCUAACACAUGCAAGUCGAACGGUAACAGGAAUCAGCUUGCUGAUUCGCUGACGAGUGGCGGACGGGUGAGUAAUGUCUGGGAAACUGCCUGAUGGAGGGGGAUAACUACUGGAAACGGUAGCUAAUACCGCAUAACGUCGCAAGACCAAAGAGGGGGACCUUCGGGCCUCUUGCCAUCGGAUGUGCCCAGAUGGGAUUAGCUAGUAGGUGGGGUAACGGCUCACCUAGGCGACGAUCCCUAGCUGGUCUGAGAGGAUGACCAGCCACACUGGAACUGAGACACGGUCCAGACUCCUACGGGAGGCAGCAGUGGGGAAUAUUGCACAAUGGGCGCAAGCCUGAUGCAGCCAUGCCGCGUGUAUGAAGAAGGCCUUCGGGUUGUAAAGUACUUUCAGCGGGGAGGAAGGGAGUAAAGUUAAUACCUUUGCUCAUUGACGUUACCCGCAGAAGAAGCACCGGCUAACUCCGUGCCAGCAGCCGCGGUAAUACGGAGGGUGCAAGCGUUAAUCGGAAUUACUGGGCGUAAAGCGCACGCAGGCGGUUUGUUAAGUCAGAUGUGAAAUCCCCGGGCUCAACCUGGGAACUGCAUCUGAUACUGGCAAGCUUGAGUCUCGUAGAGGGGGGUAGAAUUCCAGGUGUAGCGGUGAAAUGCGUAGAGAUCUGGAGGAAUACCGGUGGCGAAGGCGGCCUCCUGGACGAAGACUGACGCUCAGGUGCGAAAGCGUGGGGAGCAAACAGGAUUAGAUACCCUGGUAGUCCACGCCGUAAACGAUGUCGACUUGGAGGUUGUGCCCUUGAGGCGUGGCUUCCGGAGCUAACGCGUUAAGUCGACCGCCUGGGGAGUACGGCCGCAAGGUUAAAACUCAAAUGAAUUGACGGGGGCCCGCACAAGCGGUGGAGCAUGUGGUUUAAUUCGAUGCAACGCGAAGAACCUUACCUGGUCUUGACAUCCACGGAAGUUUUCAGAGAUGAGAAUGUGCCUUCGGGAACCGUGAGACAGGUGCUGCAUGGCUGUCGUCAGCUCGUGUUGUGAAAUGUUGGGUUAAGUCCCGCAACGAGCGCAACCCUUAUCCUUUGUUGCCAGCGGUCCGGCCGGGAACUCAAAGGAGACUGCCAGUGAUAAACUGGAGGAAGGUGGGGAUGACGUCAAGUCAUCAUGGCCCUUACGACCAGGGCUACACACGUGCUACAAUGGCGCAUACAAAGAGAAGCGACCUCGCGAGAGCAAGCGGACCUCAUAAAGUGCGUCGUAGUCCGGAUUGGAGUCUGCAACUCGACUCCAUGAAGUCGGAAUCGCUAGUAAUCGUGGAUCAGAAUGCCACGGUGAAUACGUUCCCGGGCCUUGUACACACCGCCCGUCACACCAUGGGAGUGGGUUGCAAAAGAAGUAGGUAGCUUAACCUUCGGGAGGGCGCUUACCACUUUGUGAUUCAUGACUGGGGUGAAGUCGUAACAAGGUAACCGUAGGGGAACCUGCGGUUGGAUCACCUCCUUACCUUAAAGAAGC